rnacentral:rRNA from 1 species
UACGUAGGCAGCAAGCGUUGUUCGGAGUUACUGGGCGUAAAGGGUGCGUAGGCUGCUUUUUAAGUCUGGUGUGAAAUCUCCCGGCUCAACCGGGAGGGUGCGCCGAAUACUGAGAGGCUAGAGUGUGGGAGAGGAAAGUGGAAUUCCUGGUGUAGCGGUGAAAUGCGUAGAUAUCAGGAGGAACACCGGUGGUGUAAACGGCUUUCUGGACCAUAACUGACGCUGAGGCACGAAAGCGUGGGUAGCAAACAGG